UUGUCAGGUGGUGAUUGUCUAUUUUUCCUUAAAUGAUGAUGCCGAGGGGAGGCGGUCUGCGCAAUGCCGUUUUCCCGCCAUUCUUGCAA
rnacentral:ncRNA from 1 species